UGCCCCAGUGGAGGACGUGGCUGAGCAGAGGAUUUCUUUCAAGUUCAGAGCCAUUGUGACCAAUCCCUCACAACUGCAGCACCAAACCUUCACUGGGAAGAAGAGUGUAUUCAGCAGAGCCUUCAUGGCAAAUACUGAAUGGACAUUAAACUCCUGCUAUUGAUUAUCAUGGAAGUACUGCUGGAAUGAAGAGAAAUAACAAAAGUGAUCUGGCGCUGAUAGAUCCACGUGGAGGCAAAAUGUACAGCAGGAAAAAGAUACAGAUGACGAGCUUGAUUGAACUUGGGAAUGGCACAGUAGAA